GGAGUCUGGACCGUGUCUCAGUUCCAAUGUGACCGUUCAUCCUCUCAGACCGGCUACCGAUCGUCGCUUUGGUAGGCCGUUACCCUGCCAACUGGCUAAUCGGACGCAAACCCCUCUCAAAGCGAUAAAUCUUUAAUAAAUCCAUCAUGCGAUAAAUUUAUAACAUUCGGUAUUAGCAACCCUUUCGAGCUGUUGUCCCCAUCUUUGAGGCAGGUUAUUUGCGCUUUACUCACCCGUUCGCCACUGGGACCGAAGUCCCCGUUCGACUUGCAUGUGUUAAGCACGCCGCCAGCGUUCGUCCUGAGCCAUGAUCAAACUACU
rnacentral:rRNA from 1 species